GUCCCAUUACCCCACUCAUCAGGUACCGCCGCCGUGUCAGGUCCUCACUGAGAGUUGCAAGAGCUGGGGAAGAGACACAAAGACAGAAGGGCUCAUUCCACAAACCGCCUGGGGCAUCGUCUUCACCUCCCAGGCCAUUCCGCAUGGAGAACAUGAUGGAUACGUCCACAGCUUCAUCCCCCUCAUUUUCUACAUCCCACACGAAGACUCCUACGGGCAGGCUGCUGUCCUGGGGGCAAAAGAGGGGACUCAGAUUAUUUCAAUAUAUCCUCUCUCGUUAUCUCCCAGACUUAGUCCUGGGUAUGAAGAACCUGUUUCAAAUACUC